rnacentral:rRNA from 1 species
AACCUCCGCAAUGUACGAAAGUGCGACGGGGGGAUCCCAAGUGUUAUGCUUUUUUGUAUAACUUUUCAUUAGUGUAAAAAGCUUUUAGAAUAAGAGCUGGGCAAGACCGGUGCCAGCCGCCGCGGUAACACCGGCAGCUCGAGUGGUAGCUGUUUUUAUUGGGCCUAAAGCGUUCGUAGCCGGUUUGAUAAGUCUUUGGUGAAAGCUUGUAGCUUAACUAUAAGAAUUGCUGGAGAUACUAUCAGACUUGAAGUCGGGAGAGGUUAGAGGUACUACCGGGGUAGGGGUGAAAUCCUAUAAUCCUGGGAGGACCACCUGUGGCGAAGGCGUCUAACUGGAACGAUCUUGACGGUGAGUAACGAAAGCCAGGGGCGCGAACCGGAUUAGAUACCCGGGUAGUCCUGGCCGUAAACGAUGUGGACUUGGUGUUGGAAUGGCUUUGAGUUGUUCCGGUGCCGAAGGGAAGCUGUUAAGUCCACCGCCUGGGAAGUACGGUCGCAAGACUGAAACUUAAGGAAAUU